rnacentral:misc_RNA from 1 species
CUGAGCGGCUGCUAGAGAUGAUUGAAGUGCGGUUUACAUAAUUGCUAAUAUUUAUUGUCAGGCGCGCUAUAAUGUUACAUUAAUCGUAGUAUUUAACCGCGGGCUACUUGUUAGUUGUUGUUUUACGCAGCGUAAAAGGUAGGUAUGCUUGGUAGAACGCUUUCGCUUUUCCUUUGGAAACGCCAUCUGCAGGUGUUGUUUUGACGAGCAUCUUGUAGUUGAGAGUUGUUGUUUCGAGUUGGGCACGCGCUGUGUUCUACGCCUACACCUAAUAGCGUUAUCGGAGUGCCUUUCUAAAACGGAGCUUAGGGACACAGAGACGGAGGUGUGCGGCGUGGUAAAAAGCUUCUGGAACUGUGCCAAACGAUCCGCGGCGAACUGUUAUUUGUCCCACGCUCGAUCGCUGCUGUGUAUCUCCAGCUGACUGCACCCCGUCUGUACCUUCAGUCUUGGAGGGGAAAAGGAGAGGAGAGAGCGUGACAAAAGCCGAUAUGCUUUCUUGACUUCUUCGACGCGAUGGAGGCUUCCGAGGACCAACGGUUGAUCAGCGCGCUGCCACGACUAGUCGUCAGCUGAGCGCCUUAGCAACAGCGGCUGAUCUCGACGCAACUUUCGGGCUAUGGGUGGCGCUGUGAGUGCGGGUGAAGACAACGACGAGCUUGUGGACCACCUGGUCGAGGCCGACUACAUCCGUAGUCCAGAUGUCGAGAGUGCAUUACGUGCCGUCGACCGUGCACACUACUACGCUGACGGGUGCAAGGAAAAUGCCUAUAGAGACCUGGCGUGGAAGCAAGGAAAUUUACACUUAUCAGCACCAUGCAUCUACUCAGAGGUCCUGGAGGCGCUACAGUUGCGUCCAGGCAUGUCCUUUCUCAACCUGGGUAGCGGCACGGGAUACCUAAGCACCGUGGCGGGCCUACUGAUCGGUUCCCACGGCGUCAACCAUGGCGUGGAGCUGCACGAGGAUGUCGUGCAAUAUGCGCAACUCAAGGUGUCACAGUUCUUGCGCUCUAGCCAGGCGCUGGAAGAGUACGACUUCUGCGAGCCGCGCUUUGUCGUGGGCAACUGCCUGUCACUAGAGACGACUGGCCGCCGCUACGACCGAGUCUACUGCGGGGCCUCUUGUCCCGUUGAGAAAGUGUCCAUUCUCACGGCCCUCCUCAAAGUUGGAGGCGUGCUCGUCAUGCCCUGCAAUGACCAGCUGGUGCAGGUCAAGCGCACAGCCGAGGACAUCUGGGUGGACAAGAACAUCCUUCCUGUGUCAUUCGCCAGCCUUGUGCCUCCACAGAAGGGCUGCCCCGAAGUGGUGCUGCCUGACUACCAGCCGGGCAGCCUCCAGGAGCUGAGCCGUGGCGUGAUCCGGCGUCUGCUCCGCGCCCGGCUGGAUCGGGAGAAGCUCCCGAAGCCCCGUCGUCAUCUGGUUCCCCCGCGCCUGCGCAGCAGCAGCAGUAGCGGCACGGUGGUGCCUUUCCGGGGCACCGGCAGCAGCACCUCCACCGGUGGUGACUCCGGCAGCAGCAGCGGUGAUGAACCGCACCGCAAGCGCUCGGCCGGCGGAGAGACCUCGCUCCUGUGGAAGCGCGCUGCUCUCGAUGAUGUUUGCCCGCAGGCCAUGCAACAGGACCGACCCCCCUUGCUGUGCCAGAGGAUCCUUGAGCUGCCCUUGCCACCUCGGCUCAAGACGUACCUGAACUUUGGCCGGCAGCUCUGAUUGGCUGCGGCCCUCUGUCACAGUCGUCCGCAGAGCACGCAGGGGUGUCGUUCACGCACAAUCUCCUGGCGACGGCAGCACGAGUACUUCGAGUCAACAUGACCCAUCUCCCGUUUCGCAUUCGCGUGCCGGGGGAGCUCAGUGGUGAAGAGUGGCAAGAGUGCGAUCAUCAGUGCUUAGAAAACUUAUCCUUGAUGCAGCUAUGGCCUUCCCUCCGGGGCUGAUGUUCAAGCCCAUCAGUACGCUCCGAGUGGAGGCCUAGCCGUGCACUGCUUUCAAGUCUACGUUGAGAAGUCUGCUUUUCUGUGAUGUGAUGAAGACAG